UAAACGGACAUAGUUUAAUAAGUUAAUCGUUAAGUCGCGUAAUCAACCGCCCGGCUUUUUUCAAAUCCAUAGACGCGUACGAAAUCUGCAGGAUCACCGUUACGUUUGUUUUAAAUUUUACGAUAGGCUAUGAACAACGCUAUGUCUGUUUUAUCUAUAGUUUAAAAGUUUUAUCUUUAUGAUAAUAUCCCGGGAAAUAAUUAUUCUACGCGGUACAUAGCGGGCCCCGUUUCGGCUUAUCGCUUUCUAUCGCCACAUUCUAUUCUUUCGCAAUCCUGAGGAGUGCCUCCCAAAUCGUUCG